GUUCCUUAUAUUUGCCCUAGCCCUUCACGAACACUGAUUAUUGUCUCUUCCUCACGCGUUGUUGCUCUCUCUUUCUCGGUCUGAAUCUCUCAGUCUCGUUUUCUUUCUCCUUCAUGUUCUUCUCAAUCUCGCAAUCCCAAUUCUUUCGAACUCGAUUGAAGGGUUUGGAUCGACGGAUGACACUUGCAAUUUCUAGGGUUUUCCAUUUUGAUUACAUCACCAAUGGGCGAAUUGAGGAUAGAAGAGAUGUCUCUCCCUGCUCUGUUCGAUCAGGCUCGAAAGAUUCAUCUAUCAGCUUCCGAAUCUGGCAUUGAUCAGGCAUUAAUCAGAGUGAUCUUAUGGUUUUGGAGAGCCAUGUUGUAUACUCCUUGAGUAAAGAAAAGACAGCUGCUCACUUUUAUAUUAUGCAAAGCACCCAAUCAAUCAGGGAGGAUCUUCAAGUUCCUAUUAAAGAUAUUCUUGAGAGGUUUGUGCUGCUCACUGCCAUUCUUUUGUUAAGCACCUGUUUGCUAAUUUGUUGUGGCAGGUAAAGGGUGAUAUACUUUUCAUCACAUGAGUAUGCCUUUUGAUGGUAAGGUUCAAAUGCCAAAGUAAUUUCAAUCUUUGUUGAUCUGUACCUUUAGUCGUUCAACUAAGGCAGACGGAGAUGAAAGUCUCACAGUCCUCAUUCCUAUAAUUUGCACCGAAAGAGGAUGCAUUCUUUAUUUUUUUCAAUCUUAUUAUUGAUUCGGUUUCUACCUUGCAAACACAAUCUUUCUUUCUUGGGGAAUUUUUUUUUGUAGAAACGUUGCAAGGCUGCAUACACCUUACCCUCCUUAGUCCCUGCUUUAAUGGGAGUUUUGUGCACUGGGUUGCUUUCUUUAUCCCACUGCUAAUGUGUGUUUGUGUGUGUGUGUUCUGUUUUUUUUUUGGUAAACCCAGGACUUGCAAUUAUGUCUUCUAUGGGUAAAAUGCUCUAUCAUGUUUACUACUGUUCCAUGCUGGUGUUGAAUUUGUGUAGGUCACAGCACAUGACAAAGCCCAGAAAUACAAAUAAGUUGAUAUUUUUGUUCCACUAAAUUGGAAUGGAGCUGUAUCUGUUCUAUUUGUUGGGUGGAAAUUGACUCCCUAAUAAUUUUUGGGAUGUUCAUGAUAGCAGAAAGAAACUCUUAGUAACAAAACAUGAUCUUUUUCCAAGUGGAAGGGUUUUGCUUGAUUCUCAUUGUGAAUCCCACACAUAACAUUCUAAUAAUUAUUA